GACGAACGCUUUCGUCGUGCUUUACACAUGCAACUCGAACGUAAAGGCCCUGCUUUUGUGGGGUGCUCGAGUGGCGAACGUUUGAGUAACACGUGAUUAACCUUCCCUUGACUUUGGUAUAACUUCCGUAAACUGUGGCUUAUACCGGAUAGGAGCUCCUGCUGCAUGGUGGGGGUUGAAAAGUUUCGGUGGUUGGGGAUGGACUCGCGGCUUAUCAGCUUGUUGGUGGGGUAGUGGCUUACCAAGGCUUUGACGGGUAGCCGGUCUGAGAGGGUGACCGGCCACAUUGGGACUGAGAGAGGGGCCAGAUUCAUACGGGAGGCAGUAGUGGGGAAUAAUGCACAAUGGGCGGAAGACUGAUGCAGCAACGCCGCGUGCGGGAUGACGGCAUUCGGGUUGUAAACCGCUUUCGCCUGUGACGAAGCGUGAGUGACGGGAAUGGGUAAAGAAGCACCGGCUAGAUAAGGG
rnacentral:rRNA from 1 species